UAUACAAAAUCAUUAACCAAACAUUUUAAUAUAAUAUCAACACGUGAAUAAAAUCCAUUUCGAGGAAAUCACAUUAAAUUCAUUUCAAGAAAUCAUUAAAUCAAAACAUUUAAAAUACUUAUUCCGCAAACAUGCUUUACUAUCAUAAUUAACUCUAAAAAUAGGUUUCGUAUAUUCCACUCACAGUGACAACGUCCAGACUCGGUGUCGACAACGUCCGCGGGUUGAUUCUCGUUCGCGAAUCCUCCUAAUCAAGGAAACGACAUAAUCAUUUUCCGUAAAUUGAAGUACAACUAAUUUAUAUAAUAAAUCUCGAAACGAAUAUCUAUCGACAAUAAACUAUUCCCGCAUGCACAAAAUUACCGAAAUACCCCUACAUACCAAAAUUACCAAAAUGCCCCUAUCAUCAUUAUUUUACCAACUUAUCCUCAGACAUCAUUAUUUUACCAAAUUAUCCUCAGAAUCUUUAAUUACCAAAUUGUCCUCAAUUCAGAUCACAUAAAUAACCACAAUGUCAAAAAUUACGAAAUUACCCUCGGAGCGUAAAUUUACAAAAUGUCCUUAAUGACUUAAAUUACCGAAUUACCAUCGUAAUCUCAAAUUAUCUCACUGCCCUAACUCAAAAUUACCAAAUUGUCCACUGAUUCAUAAAUUACAAAUUCAACCUCAAGUUUUAUGAAUUUACCGAAUUGCCCUUGAAUUCAAUUUUACCAAAAUACCCUCAUAUCAAAAUUACCAAAUUAACCUCAAAAUCAUAAAUUACCAAAUUUAUCCUCAAUUACAGCAAUUACUAAAAUACCCACAAAAUCUGAAAUUACAAAUUUGCCCUUAGACUGUGAAAUUACCAAAAUACCCUUGCCGGACAACGGUCACCGGAAUUCAUCCGACGGCGACGGGAAGCUCAGAACUGAAAGUUCAAGCCACGCUGAGUCCAAUGGUGGCGGUGGUGACCUCCCAUGCGCAGCGAUGGCUCCGGAUCGAGCUCCCGAAGUCGUGAAACCAUCAAUGGCCGAUCAACGGCAAAAC
rnacentral:lncRNA from 1 species